GGGCCAGUAGCUCAGUCGGUAGAGCAACAGCCUUUUAAGCUGAUGGUCCAGGGUUCGAGUCCCUGCUGGCCCACCA
rnacentral:tRNA from 1 species